rnacentral:rRNA from 1 species
CUUUAGUGGCGGACGGGGUGAGUAACGCGUGAGCAACCUGCCUGUUAGAGGGGAAUAACGUCUGGAAACGGACGCUAAUACCGCAUAACGCAUUGAGACCGCGUGGUAUUAAUGCCAAAGAUUUAUCGCUAACAGAUGGGCUCGCGUCCGAUUAGGUAGUUGGUGAGGUAACGGCCCACCAAGCCGACGAUCGGUAGCCGGACUGAGAGGUUGAACGGCCACAUUGGAACUGAGAAACGGUCCAGACUCCUACGGGAGGCAGCAG